rnacentral:rRNA from 1 species
CAGUAGCCGCGGUAAUACGAAGGGUGCAAGCGUUACUCGGAAUUACUGGGCGUAAAGCGUGCGUAGGUGGUGGUUUAAGUCCGUUGUGAAAGCCCUGGGCUCAACCUGGGAAUUGCAGUGGAUACUGGGUCACUAGAGCGUGGUAGAGGAUAGUGGAAUUUCCGGUGUAGCAGUGAAAUGCGUAGAUAUCAGGAGGAACACCUGUGGCGAAAGCGGCUCACUGGACCAUAACUGACGCUGAGGCACGAAAGCUAGGGGAGCAAACAGGAUUAGAUACCCCCGUAGUCCCUGUCUCUUAUAA